CCUACGGGAGGCAGCAGUGAGGAAUAUUGGUCAAUGGGCGGAAGCCUGAACCAGCCAAGUAGCGUGCGGGAUGAAGGCCCUACGGGUCGUAAACCGCUUUUGCACGGGGAUAACACCCUCCACUUGUGGAAGUCUGCAGGUACCGUGCGAAUAAGGGACGGCUAAUUCCGUGCCAGCAGCCGCGGUAAUACGGAAGGCCCGAGCGUUAUCCGGAUUCAUUGGGCGAAAGGGGUGCGUAGGCGGGCGUUCAAGUCAGCUGUAAAAGCGCGAGGCUCAACCGCGCCCCGCAGUUGAAACUGGACGCCUUGAGUUCACAACAGGCAGGCGGAAUUCGUGGUGUAGCGGUGAAAUGCAUAGAUAUCACGAGGAACCCCGAUUGCGAAGGCAGCCUGCCGGGGUGCGACUGACGCUGAGGCUCGAAGGUGCGGGUAUCAAACAGGAUUAGAUACCCCUGUAGUC
rnacentral:rRNA from 1 species